AUAUACGGCCAUACCGCCCUGAACACGCCCGAUCUCAUCUGAUCUCGGAAGCCAAGCAGGGUCGGGUCUGGUUAGUACUUGGAUAGGAGGAUACUAUCAGAUAAUAUGUAUU
ensembl:rRNA 5S_rRNA 5S ribosomal RNA